GAACAAAUUAUCUUAGAAAUAUAGUUAAUAGUCAAAGGGGUAGAAAAAUUAAAAGGUACCAAUAUUGCCUUUUAGAAAGGUGACUUCUACUUACUUUGUAGCACCAUAAGUAAGGCAAAUCAAAGUAGAUUGAAAAAAUAAAUGAUAUAGGCAUCUUAAGGAAGAAGUUAAGAGUAAAUUCUAUAAAAAAUUACUUAGAAAAAUUAGAUAUUGAUACCCGGAGAGGGCUAGUUAUGAACCAGGGUUGAAAUCAGAUCUUGGGGCUUAAAGUCGAGUCUCGAUGAUGACUCCGAGAUUCUUUUGGAGAUCAAAGAGUAAGGAUUGAUAGCACACUAAAUAAACUUUCUAUGAGCAUAGAUUUUGGGUGAUUUGGAAUUGAUAUGACUUCGUAAGAGCUUUGCAAAGUCAAGGUUUGUUUCAGAUGACUUAGAUUUUAUAAAAUAGGGUUUACGUUUUGGAUCAUUUCAAGAGUUUUGUAAUAGAUUUACAAGUGAAAUUUUGUGGGUUUAUUGUUAUAGUUGUGUUUAAUAUGUGUCAUGAAUUUGAGCUUGAUCUAAUAGUUGAAUUGAGGGAUAUUGAGGUUUAAAAGGGUCAAGAUCUCAGAAAGUAGAAUUUUAGGUCCAGUGGAGGUUUUUGUGAUUUCUGGCAAUCUAUUAGUUGGAUUGGAGUAAAACUUGUGUGAGAGGGUAUAAGACUUAUUUUUCUAUGUGUGUGAGAAUUUUGAGAUGAAUCGAAUGGUACGAAGAAGAGACAUUGGCUCUGGAAGAUUGGCAAUAAGAUUAGAGAAGGAGGCCGAUUAAUACCCAAGCACAUUUUUGAAAAUAUCGUCAAUUUGGUAAUUCCGAUCCUUAUCAAUUCUUUUUGAGCUUGUUUUUAACUUAUUUUUUAAAAAAGUGUAUAAAAUUUGAGUUAAGAUCAACGGUUUAUUCAUUAGUUAUUGAGGUUUAAAUCUGUUGUAGGAAUUAUUAGGAUUUGGUUAGGAUUUGGUUUGGGAUUUAGGGUUUGGAUUAGGAUUUAAUUAGGAUUUUAUUUAGGAUUUAGGAUUUGAUUAGGAUUUGGUUUAAGGUUUAGGAUUUGGAUUUAAUUAGGAUUUUAUUUAGGAUUUAGGAUUUAAUUAGGAUUUGGUUUAGGGUUUAGAAUUUGGAUUAGGAUUUGAUUUAGGAUUUGGUUAGGAUUUGAUUUAAGGUUUAAGAUUUGGAUUAAGAUUUUGUUUAAGAUUAAGGAUUUGGAUUUGGAUUUGGUUAGGGAUUGAUUUAGGAUUUAGGAUUUGGUUAGGAUUUGAUUUAGGAUUUAGGGUUUGGAUUAGGGUUUGGUUUAGGGUUUAGGAUUUGGAUUAGGAUUUAGUUAGGAUUUGAUUUAGGGUUUGGUUUAGGGUUUAGGAUUUGAUUAGGAUUUGAUUUAGGGUUUGAUUAGGAUUUGGUUUAGGAUUUGUUUAGGAUUUGAUUUAGGGUUUAGGAUUUUAUUAGGAUUUAAUAUUCAAUUAAUUUUGGCCUAAAGUUUGAAUGAAGUUCAAUAGGAUUUUAACUAGAAUUAAAUUAUGAUUGAACUGAGAUGUAUUUGAGUGAUAUUUGUGCUCUUUCUAAUGUUUCUUUAAGAAUUUUUAUUGUUUGAUUGAAAUUUCUUUGAGGUUUUUUUAAAUUUGAUUAAGCUUAAUUAGUAUUAUUAUAGUCUAAUUAUAGAAUUGUUAGUAUUCUAUUAGAAUUAGGAUUUUUUAUUAUAAUUUCUAUUCUUCCUUCGAUAGCUAGGUGCCCGAAGCAUUCUCAAGCAAGACUUCAUGUAUUACGACACCGUCUUUGCUACAUUUGCAAGAUUCUUUACUGGCUCCUAUGUAUAUUCACUAAUAUCAUAUUUAUGCCAAUAGACAAGAUAUUCCAAUUUAUUUUGGCACUACCUUGAAUCUAAGACUUCUUCCACUUCAAACUCUUCAUUAUUGUCAACUUCUAAAUGAGGAGAUGGACCUUGUCUUCUUCUUGGUAUGUCCGUUGUCUUAUAUGGUUCAAGAAGAGACACAUGGAAUACUAAAUGGAUUUUCAUUGACUUUGGUAGAUGUAAAUGAUAUGCAACACGAUUGAUUUGUGCAGAAAUAGAAAAUGGUCUAAGCCUUCGAUAGUCC
rnacentral:lncRNA from 1 species